UGCUGCUAAUCGGGACAAGUUCCGCAACACAUCAGUUGGUGGAAUGUAUAGACCCAGUUCCUAUUCAAGUACUGGAGGAUAUGGUGACAAAUAUGAUGAUGACCGUUAUGAAGGCCGCUAUGGAAGUAGGGAUGAAGAUCGAAAUGGAUAUGGCUAUGGGAGAGAAAGAGAAUACAACUACAGGGAUGAUGAUAGAUAUGGUAGAUAUGGGGACUCGUAUAGUCGUGAUGGAGAUCGGUAUGGCAGAGAUUAUGAAGAACGCUACAGCAGAGAUGGAUACAGGGAUGAUGACUACAGGGGAAGAAGUCGAAGCAUUGAUGAUUAUGGCUCAAGAAGCAGGAGUUCUGAUAGAGACCGUGGUUUUCAUGAUGAUGGUCAACCCUCAUCUCGUGAUAGUGCCAGAGUUGAUGAUCAAUCCCAGGAUGGAAGGCGGCAUGAGCGAAAAUUUUCUGAACAAAAUAUUGCUCCUCCUUGUUACGAAGAAGAUUUAAGUGAAUCACGAAGCCCUGCUCACGGUGAAAGGAAUGGAGAAAUUUCUGCUGCAUCUGCUCCUGGAGUUUCUUCUCCAGCAGCACCAAGAGCUUCCUCUCCACCUGCACCCAAAGCUGCUUCUCCAUCUGCAAGCAAUAAUCCAAGUCAAGCAACUAAUGUUUCUAGUACAGCUGUAACUCCUGCAGGCCAGGAAGUUGAGGUGGCUGAUGAAUUUGAUCCACGUGGACCUGGUUCAGAUGGUCCCAUUCCCUCAGCUGCUCCUGCUGUUGCCACUACCUCGAACAUUGCUGAAAUGGAUUUACUUGGCUCUCUGUCAGAUUCGUUUGCUGCAAAUCCAUUGGCCAUUAUGCCAGUGGCCUCUGCAGCUACAACCUCUGAAGCUGAUGCCCAAGCAAACUUUUCAGUACCCACAUUUGCUGCAACACAGCCAGCAUCUAA
rnacentral:misc_RNA from 1 species